rnacentral:rRNA from 1 species
UUCCCCUAGUAACUGCGAGUGAAGCGGGAAAAGCUCAAAUUUAAAAUCUGGCGGUCCCUGUGGCUGUCCGAGUUGUAAUCUAGAGAAGUGCUAUCCGCGCUGGACCGUGUACAAGUCUCCUGGAACGGAGCGUCAUAGAGGGUGAGAAUCCCGUCUUUGACACGGACUACCAGGGCUUUGUGAUGUGCUCUCAAAGAGUCGAGUUGUUUGGGAAUGCAGCUCUAAAUGGGUGGUAAAUUCCAUCUAAAGCUAAAUAUUGGCGAGAGACCGAUAGCGAACAAGUACCGUGAGGGAAAGAUGAAAAGAACUUUGGAAAGAGAGUUAAACAGUACGUGAAAUUGUUGAAAGGGAAACGCUUGAAGUCAGUCGCGUUGGCCGGGGAUCAACCUUGCUCUUUUGCUUGGUGUACUUCCCAGUCGACGGGUCAGCAUCAAUUUUGACCGGUGGAUAAAGGUCAGGGGAAUGUGGCAUCUUCGGAUGUGUUAUAGCCCUUGGUUGCAUACAUCGGUUGGGAUUGAGGAACUCAGCACGCCGCAAGGCCGGGUCUUUGACCACGUACGUGCUUAGGAUGCUGGCAUAAUGGCUUUAAUCGACCCGUCUUGAAACACGGACCAAGGAGUCUAACAUGCCCGCGAGUGUUUGGGUGGAAAACCCGGACGCGUAAUGAAAGUGAAAGUUGAGAUCCCUGUCGUGGGGAGCAUCGACGCCCGGACCAGACCUUUUGUGACGGUCCCGCGGUAGAGCGUGUAUGUUGGGACCCGAAAGAUGGUGAACUAUGCCUGAAUAGGGUGAAGCCAGAGGAAACUCUGGUGGAGGCUCGUAGCGAUUCUGACGUGCAAAUCGAUCGUCGAAUUUGGGUAU